rnacentral:rRNA from 1 species
UUUCGACACACUAUCAUUAACUGAAUCCAUAGGUUAAUGAGGCGAACCGGGGGAACUGAAACAUCUAAGUACCCCGAGGAAAAGAAAUCAACCGAGAUUCCCCCAGUAGCGGCGAGCGAACGGGGAGGAGCCCAGAGUCUGAAUCAGUGUGUGUGUUAGUGGAAGCGUCUGGAAAGGCGCGCGAUACAGGGUGACAGCCCCGUACACAAAAAUGCACAUA